GCCGAGCUGGGUAACGUCAGCUUGUGACCUGAGUGGGGGCAUUGAGGUGAUUGAACAAGGCUAUGACUUGCUAAGCUAGUCUGGAGGCUGCAACUUGCUGGCCUGCCCACUCCAAGUUAGGAGCUGAGCCAUGGGAUCUUUGCGAAGGCGUUGGUUUCCUGGUUUCUAGACAGGAGGGCACCGCGUGAGGCUGGUUUCACAGAGCAGCGACCCUGAGCUUGGUGAGCCUUGCUCUUGAACAAUUACUUUUUAUUUUUAUAAAUGUCUGUUUUAAUGCAAACUGAGUGCAUUUUGGAACACUGCAUAAGCAUC
rnacentral:SRP_RNA from 1 species